GUAGGCCCGUGCCCCUGCUCGCGCUGCAGCCCGUGGAAGGGUUCCGUCCAGCGUAUCCUUCAGAUCUUGCUGUAGGCCUCUGGUGUCUGUGCGCGCGCGGCAGGGGCGGCGGCGGCGACGGCCGGAGGUGUACGGUGUAAAUCCAAACCGCUUCCAACUCAAGGCAAGUAACAGCCCACGGUGUUCUGGCAGGAAAACAUCAGCUAAGAAAGGAAACUGGGUCCUAUGGCUUGGACUUUCCAACUCUGACAGACCGGCAGGACAGAAACAACUGGUUCAGGAGCCCUUGCCAGCCUCUAGAGAAAUCCCAGAACACUCAGCCCUGAUGACACAUUAAUACCCUGCACAUAUUGGAGACUGCUGACCACGCAUACUCACCAAGCCACAGACUUGUCUUCCACAAGCACGUUCUUACCUCAGCCACAAAGUGCCCAAGCCACAUGUACUAAAGGUUGAAAUCAGAGACAUGUACAGGGUAUUAAACAGAUACCAAGGGGAACAGUUAACUUGAAUAUAGCUUGAAUAGAAAGUCAAAAUCAGCAACAAGUCUACAAUCCAGUGCUGAUAUCAGAUACAAGCUUCAAGGACAACUUUCUGUGUAUGUUUUUUUUUUUUUUUUUGAGACGUAGUCUCGCCCUGUUGCCCAGGCUGGAGUGCAGUGGUGCAAUCUCGGCUCACCACAACCUCUGCCUCCCAGGUUCAAGUGAUUCUCCUGCCUCAGCCUCCCCAGUAGCUGGGAUUAUAGGCGAAUGCCACCAUGCCUGGCUAAUUUUUGUAUUUUUAGUAGAGACGGGGUUUCAGCAUGUUGGCCAGGCCGGUCUCAAACUCCUGACCUUGUGAUCCACCCGUCUCGGCCUCCCAAAGUGCUGGGAUUAUAGGCGUGAGCCACCACUUCUGGCCACAAAUUUCUUUUUGAAGGCUUAUUCCAGUUUUGUGAGGCUAGCAUGAGGUGUAUGCAUUUGCCAGGGGCAAAUUUAUACUGCUGAAUUAACCCAUGCAACAAAUGCUGCACAUCUGCUCGCAGUCCAUUUAGAGGCAUUUGCGGUAGACAAUGGAGGGGCCAGACUCAUCAUACAUACCUGAUGGCUAACCCACAUGCUUGCAGUCCAUUUAGAGGCAUUUGCAGUGGAUGAUGGAGGGGCCACAUACCUAAUUGCUAAUCCACAUCUGCUGGAAGGUGGACAGUGAGGCCAGGAUGGAACCACCAAUCCACACCGAGUACUUGUGCUCUGGGGGCAUGAUGAACUUGAUCUUCAUGGUGCUGGAUGCCAGCGUGGUGAUGCCAGGGCACAUGGUGGUGCUGCUGGACAGCACUGUGUUGGCGUACAGGUCUUUGCGGAUGUCCACGUCACACUUCAUGAUGGAGUUGAAGGUGGUCUUGUGGAUGCCGCAGGAUUCCAUGCCCAAGAAGGAAGGCUGGAACAGCACCUGCAGACACCAGAACCACUUGUUGCCGAUGGUGAUGACCUGACCUGGCCAUCAGGCAGCUCAUAGCUCUUCUCCAGGGAGGAGGAGGAUGUGGCAGUGGCCAUCUCCUGCUCGAAGUCCAGGGCGAUGUAGCACACCUUCUCGUUGAUGUCGCGCACAAUCUCCUGCUUGGCCGUGAUGGUGAAGCUUGGAAUCAAGCUUGACAUGCAGAGCCAAUAAAAGCCCCUUGGGGAGAACUGGCCUCAUACCUUGUCUACACAGUCCCUGCACAGGGUUCCUAACCUGUGGUUAGUAAAGAAUGUCACUUUCUAACAGGUCUGGAAGCUCCGAGUUUAUCUUGGGAACUCAAGAGGAGAGGAUCACCCAGUUCACAGGUAUUUGAGGAUACAAACCCAUUGCUGGGCUCGGCUUUAAAAGUCUUAUCUGAAAUUCCUUGUGAAACAGAGUUUCAUCAAAGCCAAUCCAAAAGGCCUAUGUAAAAAUAACCAUUCUUGCUGCACUUUAUGCAAAUAAUCAGGCCAAAUAUAAGACUACAGUUUAUUUACAAUUUGUUUUUACCAAAAAUGAGGACUAGAGAGAAAAAUGGUGCUCCAAAGCUUAUCAUACAUUUGUCAUUAAGUCCUAGUCUCAUUAAUUGUUUUCAAGCUUUUCGCCUACAUUUUAGACUAACCCUGCUUAUUCCUGUGAAUCAAGUAGUGGUCUCCUGCAGCUUGGAAGAAAAAAUAAGGGAUGGGUAAUGUAAAAAUCUGGAUCAAUAUACUGGUUCUGGGCAAUUAUCCUGCAAAUUCUGCCAGGUAAUAAAAGUGAGUAGGGUGCCCAUAAUCCGGAAGUUUCUUUGUUUAGGAAAAUAAAAACAAGGAACUUCAUAGACCCCCCCCAAAGGGGAAUUCUAUAUCUUGACAAGUAAAAUUUUAGAUGGAAAUUAUCUACAACACCACACUUACGGAAAUUGCUAUCCUCACUCUAUUAUUUGCAAAAGGGUUAUACACAGUAGCACCUUCUAACUGAAGUAUUAAACAGAGUUUCCAUUGCUGUCGUAUUUUGCUUAAUUAUUAUCCUUAUAGCAGGGAUAAUAGUUACUAACAAAAAGGAAGCAUGAAAGUUUUACUAUCACUGAGCCUGGUAGGACUUUUUAUUGGGUUUAGUGAUGCAGUUUUAAAUGAAACAUGCCGCUUUUGGAUUAAUACCUCUAGUAAAGGAAAAUUUACAGAUACUUAAAAAUCAAAUCAAAAUUAUUGAUAGGCUCAGGAAAAAUGCCAGCUUCAGCCCUGAGUGGCUACAAACCCUCUUUAAUAAAUUCCAGUCUUCUUUAUGGAAUUGGUUAACGCCUUUAUUAAGCCCUCUCUUGCUUAUAUGUCUUGUAUUGAUAUUUGGACUCUGUAUAUACAAUACUAUAACUCGAAUUGUUUCUUCUCGCCUAGAAGCAAUCAAACUCCAAAUGGUGCUGUAAACUGAACCACACAUGGACAGGCCAUUCUUCCGAGGACCCUUAGAUUGAUCCCAGGGGGAGCCCUAGCUGCUAUUCCCCAUUCAACGCCCCUUUUCAGCAGGAAGUAGCCAGAAGGAGUCGCCGCCCAAAAUCCCCUAACAGCAGUUAGUGUGGCAUCUCCACAGGAAGUAAUGUUGUAGGAGUUACUAAGAAAUUAUUUUAGGCAGAUAGAGAGGAAAAGGGGUCCUUGGGAAGUUUUCAUUUUUUAAAGCAUCUCUGGAAAAGUUUCUUGUAAAGCCCCGGCUCUUAGAGCCAGGCUGGCAACCUUUGAUAUGCAAAUGUAAGCCAUUAGAAACCAGGUCCACCCAGGCCAGGUGUGGUGGCUCACGCCUGUAAUCCCAACACUUUGGGAAGCCUAGGCAGGUGGAUCACCUGAGGUCAGGAGUUCGAGACCAGCCUGGCCAACAUGGUGAAACCCCGCCUCUAAUAAAAACACAAAAAACUAGCCAGGUGUGCUGCUGUGUGUCUGUAAUUCCAGCUACUUGGGAGGCUGAGGCAGGAGAACUGCUUGAACCCAGGAGGCAGAGGUUGCAGUGAGCUGAGAUUGCAUCAUUGCACUCCAGCCUGGGCGACAGCAAGACUCUGUAAAAAAAAAAAAAAAAAAAAAAAAAAACAGCCAGGCGUGGUAGCACGCCUGUAGUCCCAGCUACUUGGGAGGCUGAGAUGGGAGGAUCACCCUCGACUGGGGAAGUUGAGGCUGCAGUGAGCUGAAAUCGCACCACUGCACUCCAGCCUGGGUGACAGACUGAGACCCUGUCAAAUAAAUAAUGUAUGUAUGUAUAUAUGUAUGUAUGUAUGUUAACCUCAUCCCAAAACAUCCUCACAGAACAUCCAGAAUAAUGUUUGACCAAAUAUCUGGGCACCAAUGGCACAUUCAAGUUGACACAUAAAAUUAACCCUCACAAUACCGUACUGUACAACUUUUGGAGUGAAGCUGGAAUGUCAUCGCAUUUCCAAGACUAACUCAGUGUCCACAAAUGAUGCUUAAGUCAUGAGGAUCAUCUCGGAUUUGGAUUUGGAUGCCUGUCAAGCCCUCACUCUUCAGACUAAAUGUCUGAUUUGCAUGGAGAAUUAUCAAGAGAAGCAACAAUGCCAAGCAGACUAUUCCAGGUCAAAAUAGUCAAAUUAAUAAUUCAUAAAUUAUUAUAUGUUUUGAAGGUAUUGCAAAAUUAAAGUUGCAAGAACAGUACAGAUAACUUUUUUCCUGAACCAUUUGAGAGUAGGUUGCAGACCUGGUGCCCCAUCAUUUCUGAAUAUUUUAGUGUGCAUUUUCUACAAACAAGGACAUUUUCCAGCAUAACCACAAUGCACCCAUCAAUGUCGUGAAAUUAAUGUUGGUACAUUACUACCACCUAGUCCUCAGACCCUAUUCAAAUUAUACCAGUUAUCAUAAUAGUUUCUUAUAAUUUAUAGCAAAAUGAUCCAAACCAGGAGCAUGCAUUGCAUUUUUAUGAAUUUUUAAAACAAUUAAGUCUGUGUAGUGAGUGAAGCCACAGUGAUAGGAAUAUAUAAAGGCUUUGCAUCUAGAAUUUGUUCUGAAAACCCUGAGAUUCAAGUAGUACAUUAUUUCAUUUACUAUUUUACACAGAGAAGCCCUCAUUUUUAAGAGUUUGCCUUUCUGAUUUCCACCGGAAAUGAUACUAUCAGUAUCAUACUCAGAAUCUUAAUUACAUACAAGGCACUAACCUCUCACCUGUUUUCAGCUUUGUGUAAAGACAAGGGAUCAAAACAUCCCUUUCUGCUAUUUCAUACUUAAGUGUGGGAGCUGAUCCAAAGGAAGAAUAGUUUCAAAAGUUUGUAGCAAAAAAAAUUUAAAAGGUGAAGAUUUUUUCCUUGAAUGAUUCUCACCUGGCAGAUCUAUGGAAAGAUUAGCUGACUCUUUGGAUCCCUGAAUAUAGUUAAUAGAAAUUUGGAAGGACCAUGUCAAAAUUAACUAAUGUGAACUGACAAAGAUUUGGUGUUCAAAGCAAAAAUUAAACUUUGGAAAAGUGAGCAAGUACUUAAUCAGAAACAAAAAAAAAAAAAAGAAAGGAAAAGUUAGGUGAAAAUGGUUUCCAGGUGUUGUUGCUGUUAUAGUUUGAAUCAUAAAAGUUGUUAAAAGUCUGCUGUAACAAACCAUCAUAGACUGGGUGACUUAUAAAGAACAAAAAUGUAUUUCUCACAGUUCCAGAGGCUGGGAAGUCUAAGAUCAAGGCAUCAGCAGAUUCAGUGUCUGGUGAGGGCCCACUUUCUGGUUCAUAGAUGGCACCUUCUCACUGUCUCCCCACGUGAUGGAAGGGGCAAGAGGUCUCUCUUGGUACUCUUUUAUUAAGGGCACUAAUCCCAUCCAUGGGGCUCCACCUUCAUGACCUAUUCAUCUCCCAGAGGCCCUACCUGCAGAUACCAUCGUAUGGGGGAUUUGAUUUCAGCCUGUGAAUUUGGGGGAAGCGGGACAAACAUUCGUUUUGUAGCAAAAGGAGUAGAGUAAUAUCUGCCAAUAACUGGAGGAAAGAAUUGUUCUUUUAAAACUAUUAAAUUGUUUAAUGGGAUUUAAAUGAUUUCAGGAAUGAAAUGGAAAUCCUGGUAAUGGGUAGAAACAUAGGUAAAUUCUCCUUUUCCACUUACCACCACCUGUGUGAACAACAAUCAUUUCUCAUUAAUAGUCAAGAAUUUGAAGAGAUCAUGAGUAAAAAGUCUUGAUCAGAAAUUGUGUAUAGCUGUUUCCAGCAUAAAACCUUAUAUAAAAUGCAUAUUCAUAGAAGAUGCUCAAGUAUGUCAUGAAAAAUAUGAAGUUUAUUUAAAUAUUUAUACAAAUUAAAGAUUUACUGUAUUCUCUAACAGCGCGUAUUUUCUUUUUUGUAAUAACUAUAUGAAAUAAAUACAAAGUAACACGUUUUUACCAAGCCCCCUUCCCAUCCUUCUCAUCACCCUCAAACUCCCUCCAAAUAGAGUCAGAGAAACAGCCAGAGGGAUGUCUCCACUGAGACACAGGGAGGUCUUGCACCCAGGCAGUUCAGCAGUUCCUGGGCGGGUGGCCCUUCCCAUCUGAGUACCCCUCAAUGUGCCUGCUCCUCCUGGGAUCCUUUCUGCUCCCUUGGGCCUCUGUUUUUGGUCUGCAAUGGUUGGUUAUGUAGAGGGAUCAGUAUUGGGGUUGUCCCAAGCCAGGCUACAGGUUGAGCAGGUAGCCACAUAGGCCACAUAGCAGGACGGGCCCAGCUGGGGACUCUGAUGUCUGCAAUUAGGGGUGGCAGGAAGUAAUGGAUGCACAGGCGCUGACUUGGCCUGGCCUUAAGCCUUAGUCUAGCGGAAAGGUCUGGCUGUUUACCUGCCUUCCUAUUUGGAGCUGAUCCCAGGACCAAACGGGAUGCCAUCGUACCAAGGGCAGGGAGAUGAAGGGAGGCCCUCAGAAGAGAAUGAGGCCUAAAUGCCAGGUAAAGGGCAGGAAGGGGUUCAAUCCCAGCAGCACCUCCUGGUGGUAGUUGGGGAAAUAAAAUGGCCAGAGAGGAGACUGGCCCUGAAGGCAUCUCCAGAGCUUGAGUCCCUCAGUAGCCAACCUGAGCUCCUAAACCCCUCUGGACUAGGUCCCCUUCUCCACUUAACCUGCCUCCUCAAGAAAGACAGGAUGGGGCCGGGCACAGUGUGGCUCGCGCCUGUAAUCCUAGCAUUUUGGGAGGCCGAGGCAGGUGGAUCACCUGAGGUCAGGAGUUCGAGACCAGCCUGGCCAACGUGGUGAAACCCCGUCUCUACUAAAAAUUUAAAAAUUAGCCGGGCAUGGUGGUGGGCGUCUGUAAUCCCAGCUACUUGGGAGGCUGAGGCAGGAGAAUCACUUGAACCUGGGAGGUGGAGGUUGCAGUGAGCCAAGAUUGUGCCACUGCACUCCAGC
rnacentral:lncRNA from 1 species